GUAGAUACUGAUACUGCCCUCUGGAAUAUGGAGCUAUAUCCCUCUGAUAAUGAUAGGCACCCCCGUGACCUGUCUGGGUAUAACCACUAAACCCUGGAAUCUGCUGGAUAGAAACUAGUGGUGGUAAGGCAGAUGUUUGGGAAAUCUGCUGGUUCUGUGGGCACUGGAUAGCCUGAUGUCCCAUAUGGCCAUAAAUAAAACAUCCUCUGUUACCUUGCCUGCACUCCCCAAAAUGUUGACUAUUACAUCUACACCUGAGCGGCUGCCCAUCCGUUGUGCGGUGGAACUCAAACCUCCACUGGAAGAACUGGAACUAGUACCACUUCUCUUAAAACUCUGCGUCUUGGGAGGUCCUUAUGAUGACUGGCCCUUAUCUUUAUUCUUAUUAUUUUUCUUCUGGUUACUAUCUUUUUCUUCCUCUUCCUCGCUAUCACUGGGCAUAUUUUCAGAAUCCUCAACCCGUAGUAAAAUCUCAUAAAACUCCUGAUAUGUAGCACAGGGAAUCGUGGUCGCCAUGGAACGCCACUUCUUUCUAGUACCCAAUCUAAAACGGUGAAGCAUCUCUGCGAGAUUUGCAACAAUCGCAGGGCAAUAAUGAGAUAGAUCAGUGAACUUCCAAUAAUACUCAUUAGCUGACAUCUUCCCCUACCUUAGAUGCAUGAAUUCGUACUUCUUAUGAUCUAUAUACUUUGGGGGGACAAAUCUCUUUUGGAAUAACCACUUAAAAAUCUCCCAAUCUACAGCCUCCUCUGGUGACAACUGAAAAGAUUCUUGCCUCUACCAGGAAGCAGGCUCCCCACCCAAAAACCAAGUGGUCGUCUCGACCCAUCUAUCCUUAGGAAGAUUUCCAUGUCUCUGCAUUAAUUCAAGAUCCAUGCAAUUAGGUCUAAAAGAACCAACCCAACCCCCUAUUCUUCAUAACAUUUAUCCUACACACCCAACUAGGCCCUAACUUGCCUCCACACUAUCGUGACGUCGAAUUCAACUUAAUCACAUUGGCGAGGAAAUAAUUUAGACUAUAUACGUACAUCCCCGUCACUGAGCCUCGAGGGCAUAAACUUCAAUUUACAUACUUGAGGACAAAAUUAUGCACAGUAAAUUGGAACGAGUUGUUACAAAAUAGUAUUCGUUGAUACGAUCACGUGAGCAUGAGUUUGACCCAAAUCGGGUUCAUAACGAAAAAGUUACAUCUCGUUAAAGUACAUAAUCGACAGGUAGAAUUGUACACACAAGUGUGCUAAUUUAUCAUUAUUAGAAACACUAUUUUGGAUAGAUUUUUUGAGCACUUUUUACUAUUUAAGUCUGAAAACCAAUCAAAACCGUGAAUUGUUGUUCACCCACCAAUCAAAUCUGUCCCUUACACCCCUCACCCAAUCAGCUCUCCCUCUCUCCUUCGUUUUGGGACCAAUCAGAAACCUCUAUCUCUCUCUCAUCAUCAUUUAACUCUCUCCUCUUUGCAACUACAAGGACCUUCACAACCACUCACAGGUCAAGUCCAAAAACACCACCAUCGUGAUCAUCUCGUCCUUACAAUCACAACCAUACCAACCGAUUCUCUAAUGGUUGAGUUUUGAGUGGUCAACGUAAAGCAACUCAGAAGCUCCAACUCGAUCGAGUUAGCAUCGUCGUGAUCUUGGCUGAGUUACAAGGUUUUAGGACGUGGGAAAGCUUCUACUCAACUCCCCAUGGCCAUUAAACUAGUUUUGGAGAAACGUUGAUGUCAAAACAGGCACAUUCAAGGAGUUAAGCUUUUGGCCGAGACUUUUAAGCUAUUUUUAGGCCAUUUCCCAUCCACUUUUGGACUUUUGGAAGGUACAACUUUUUUCUACUCUUCUCGAGCUUUAUUUCCAUAUAAAUUUCGUGAAAAAUGGUUGAGAAAUGAGCAAGAUAUUAAGGUUUAAAAUUUUACCCAGAAAUCGACGAAGAUUUCUAGUUUUCGGUGAGUUCAUACGGCGGCGACCGGUGACGACCCACCGGAGAAGACAACAAAUAUUUCGUCAAACUUGACGGAAUAUCUAACGACGUCAGGUAACGUCGUUAACGUCCGUUAACUGUUCAACGGAAUAUUCUGUCGAGUCUGACAGAAUAUUCCUGGAUUCCCUCAGCUUCUGCCAUGCACGUGCAUGCGCGUGGCCAUGGGUUGGGCAGCGCGUGAGGGUGCGUCCGGCCUCCGACCAGCGAGUGGUUUUUAUGUACAAGUUCGUGACUUCGAGUAGAACAUUUUCGUAUAUUCAAACCUUCUAUUUGAGCAAACGUUGGGGAGUUAUUCCUAGUUUUAGUGUAUGUCCUUAGUAACUAAUUUAAUUUAGUUGUUUCGCAUAUAGGGGAGACUUACCCCAAGGACAUACGAGGACAAGCAAGACUAGGGAGCUAUGAUCCUAUGACAUACCAGUGAGUGGGCAUUUUGUUUCCAUAUAUAUAUAUAUAUAUAUAUAUAUAUAUUGUAUAGUUCCCACAAAUGCUUUUAAGUUGAUUUAUGCAUGUUAUGCCACAUUUUACUUACUUUUAAAAUAGUGCCAUGGUGGUUGAGAUUUAUAUUUGAUCAUGGCAUAUUCAUAUGCAUUCUACAUGCUGAUAAAUAUUAGGUUAUUGUGUAAGGCCAAAUCAUUCUACGGGACGCGCAUGUAAGUUCAGGUGAGUUUAUUGUGUUGUUUGGAAUGAUUGAAUUGUAUGGCAUGCUUAUAUUCAUAUAGUUCGCUCAUCAUUGCUGCACCAAUGUUAACGCUCACCUCGGGUCAAGGCCAGUCUUUCACGUGAUGUUCACCUCGCAUCCCACACUCACCUUGGAUCCAAGUAGGUGCUAGUCUUGUCGUACAGGUUGCAUUAGGCGACUUCGACUCGUAGGUGACGCGCAUAGCGCUAGUCUUCACGUGAUCAUAGCACUAGAGCGUAUAUUAUUACACCUAGUCAUGUCGUACAGGUCACAUUAGGUGACUCUUACUCGUGUGUUAGCAUAGAUGGAUGAGCAACAGGUGCAGUCGUACAGGUCACAUUAGCUGACUCCGACUGCAUGCUAAUAUAGAUUGUUGAGCACAUGAUUUUAUUCAUAUUGCCGUUGAGAUAUUUUAUUGUGGCAUAUUUCGGGAUUUAUUGUCGGCAUGCAUUUGAUUUCAUACUUAUAAUUAGUAUGGAUUUCAGGAAACUAUACUUGUUUUACAGCGAGGGGUUAGUAUGUUUAGAAAACAAAUGGAUUUUAUAAACCUUUUAUUUUUUUUGCCCACUCACCCUUCUGUUUUUCACCCCUCCAGGUCCUAGAUAGCUGACCUACUCUGUGGCGUUCGAGGAUUACCAGGCGAUUCUGACGUAUCCCCAUUCUUAACGUAGGAACUUAUCUCCAGUUGUGUAUUAAGUACAUCUCUAAUUCGACUGCUUUACCCUUGUGUUUUCUAUGCUUUGAAUAUUUGUAGUUUUGGAUUAUAACCACUACUGCGCACUCACCUUAUUAGUUAAUUAAGUUCUAGUUUCAGUUUUAAUUUAUUCACAUUUUUCUUACAUCACUUGCACUUUUGGUUACGUCACCUUUACGUGAUAGCCAGCACGCCUUGAUUUCGGUCGGGGUAUGUCAUUCUCUCUCCAUAACUACCGACACUUUUUUUUCCUGAUGCCUACAUAACUCCUACCCAAAAAAUUAAAAAUUAAAAAUUAAAAAACAAUAUUUGAAAAAAUAAAAAUUAUAUUUCUCACACAGAGUGUGUGACCUUUGCUGGUACAUUUUAAUGUCUACAUUUAGGCAAACUAAUUUUUUUUUUUUUUUAUAAUAAUUAUUUUGAUAACAAUUUUGUAUGUUCUUCAUUUAGGUACAUUAAUACAUUUGAACAUUUCGGUAUAUCCAUCGAUACAAACAUAUAGGUACAUUAAUUCAAUAUAAAGCAUUUCGGAACGUACAUUUUGGUACAUACAUUUGGGUAUUGACUUUUAGGUACAUUAAUUCAAUAUAAUGCAUUUCGGUACUUACAUUUUGGUACACACAUUUGGGUAUUGACUUUGAGGUACAUACAUUUUGGUACUACAUUUCGAUAUUAACAUUUAGGUACUUUAAUUCAAUAUAAUACAUUUUGGUACACAUUUAGGUUCCUUAAAAUAUAAUAUAUUAAAAAAUACACAUUAGAUAACAAAAAUUGAAUAUAAAUUUUAAUAAAAGUACACUUAAAGGGAUUAAAUUAAAUAUGUAAUCAAGCAUGAGGUUUUUUUUUUUUUUUUUUCUGAAAUUUAAACUUUUGCAAGAACUAAUAUUCAAAAACUCCUAUAUUUUAAUUAAGUUUAUCAGAUAAGAUGAUGCAAUAUUUUAUUUUCAAGUUGUUGGAUGAAAAUGCAUCAAGGCUGGUUAUAGUUUGAUGCUUCUAAUUAAGUGUUUAAUCGUGUCUACGAUAAUCCAAAGCUUGAUGCACUGGGUGCACUGGAUGCACUGAUUACCAAUAGAUUAUCAUAAAUUUAAUAUUUGAUAAGAUUGUCUUCCUCCUUUAAGGAAUUCAGUUAAGGGCAAGGAAAUAAGAAAGUGUUGUGUUGGAUGGGAGAAUUUUUUUGGCAGUAAGGAAUGAUUCUCUUUCUUCAACCUCUCGGAGCAUAAGGGACGAAUAACAGGUAGGAGAAUAACAGGUAGGAGGAGAAGAGAGUUUUUUUUCUAUUUUUUUAUUUUUUUAAUAAAUGAUAUUAUUUACACUAAGGGGUGGGAGAGUGAGCUAAGCCUCACAAUGGGCUAGCAAUAAUAUGAUUCAAAUCUUCCUUUGGCGAGAAUCAAACCUGAGACCUCUCACUUACUAGUGAAUACCACUAGACCGUAGUACUAAGUGGCAAGUGAGCGUUUUAAACUAAGGGUAAUUAUGUCUUUUUCACUUAUUUUUUUGUUAAUUUUAUAAUAGUUGAAAAAGAGAGGCUAUAUUUCAUUAGGUGGUUCUCAAAGUGGGGCUAUAUUUCCAAAUUUCCCAAGGAACAUAUCUCCUAAUCCUACUCUGAUUAAGAGAGAAUCUUGAGAAUUUCUAUUAUUAUAGAAAUAUCUUCUUCGAUUUCUUAUUAGGAUUCUCCCAGUUUUAAUAUGAAUUUCUAUCCUCAUAAAAACUCUCAUUGAACAUUAUAAAUACACCCUCUAGGAUUCAAGGUAAAGUUAUUUCAUUCUACGCUCCAACCUACUGCUUAAAGUUUUAAUUUUUGCAGUUGGCAAGGAUUACCCCAUCAAAACAUUCUGAAUACAACCUUUUCAUCUUCAGAUUGCAUGUCCACUUUCAAGAAAGACCUCGCGAACGAAAAACAGUGUAGCUAUGAGCAUUGACUUAAAGAGUAACAAGAUAUAUAAAUCAAAGGUGAAAACAGAAAACUAAUAAAAAAUAUAUACAGGUUCACGUCCUACAACUUUUCACAAGCAUUUACAAAGCAUAUUGUAGUCAAGCAAACAUGCCUUCAUUCUAACCCAAUAAAAUAUAACAAAAAUAUAACACUGAAUGUCGAAUACUCAUGUAGUCAUGUACUAAUUCCUUUGAUAAGAGCAUAUUUAUGCGACUUAGUUAGCUUGUUUUUUGGCAUUUAUGUUGUUAGUUCGUAGUUAUUUUAGUAUUUUAAACUAUUUUCGUGUGUUUGUAGGUCCAAAGGGUUAAUGUGGCAAAGAAAUGCAUUUUGGAGCAUUUUUGGGCAUGGAAUGGAUAGCAUAUGCUUGGAGCAAAAGGAAUGGACGAAAUU
rnacentral:lncRNA from 1 species